GACGUAGGGCGCGAGCGUUGUCCGGAUUUAUUGGGCGUAAAGAGCUCGUAGGCGGCUUGUCGCGUCGUCCGUGAAAGCCCGGGGCUUAACCCCGGGUCUGCAUUCGAUACGGGCUAGCUAGAGUGUGGUAGGGGAGAUCGGAAUUCCUGGUGUAGCGGUGAAAUGCGCAGAUAUCAGGAGGAACACCGGUGGCGAAGGCGGAUCUCUGGGCCAUUACUGACGCUGAGGAGCGAAAGCGUGGGGAGCGAACAGG
rnacentral:rRNA from 1 species